UACGUAGGGGGCAAGCGUUGUCCGGAUUUAUUGGGCGUAAAGGGCGCGCAGGCGGCGCUUCAAGUCCGUUGUGAAAUUUCAGGGCUUAACCCUGACGGGUCAACGGAAACUGAAGGGCUAGAGUGCAGCAGAGGAAAGCGGAACUCCCGGUGUAGUGGUGAAAUGCGUAGAUAUCGGGAGGAACACCAGAGGCGAAAGCGGCUUUCUGGGCUGUAACUGACGCUGAGGCGCGAAGGCUAGGGGAGCAAACAGG
rnacentral:rRNA from 1 species